CUAGGGCACUUCUGCAGUAGAAGCAAUAGCCUUGGGGUGAGAAGCACGCUGCUUCAUUGCAGAGUCUUUUACCAAAGUGUGCAGUUCUUCAGUUUUUUGACUAUGUGAAGAUAAUAAUCUUCUGGAUACCUAAAACAGGCAACGACAUCAAACACUAGAAUAUGUAUGUAACUAAAGACAACGGCAGGAACAGCAGUGGUGAUACAGUAGGGAGACAAUAAGUAAAACGUCAGAACAGAGAUGGAUGCAGCCCGGCUGGCUAUUGGUGGAACUAUACUUGAAAGAAAGCUACUUGAAUUAGAAGGAAAAUUGAGCAGCAGCUUCAGAAUGUUCUGGAUGUGAAAAGCAAGUCUGCAUUCCUGCAACCUCUACAACUUCAUAAUACACGGAAUAAAUAACAGCAUUUAUACUGCCAUAGCUGGAUUUUGGAGGCAACACAGUGACUGGUUGUCCUUCUCUUGGUAUUAAACAUACACUUCAGCUAUACUCUUUGACUUCUGUUUCAGCUCUUACUAGAAGUGCAACAUUAGCAUGGUAGCCUGUCAUUUUUCACAAGUUAAAAAUUCAGUGAUAGUGUUGCUCGUGAGAAGGAAUAGUGGUGGGAGGAAACAUUUAUAGGGGAGAAAAAAAAUGAAACAGUAAAGAUGGAAUCUGGGAAUAGGGUGACUUAAACUGGUGAAAGAUCUUAGAAAGCAAUGAGAAAGGGCAGAAAAAUCAGGAAAAGCUUUAAAAAUCACAAUUUAAAAGUUCUUUAAUGUUAAGGAAAUUUUGGCUUCUACAGUCCUUUGAAUGGAGAAAAGCAUGUACAUAUUUUUAGCAGAGUUUUGGUUUCUCGUUCCAUUCCUCUUCAUAAAUGGAGUAAAAAAAUAGCUUCCAAUUUUCAAAAUACUAUAGUACUUAAUUUUAAGCUAGCACUUGGUCCUAACGGGAUGCUCUUCUUACUUACAAUAUUAUAUAUAUUGCUGCAUCCAUAUAGGCAAGAUGUUAUAUGCCAGAAGCAAUGGGCUGCUUCUCCAACUUCUACACUAAGUGGGAGGAAAUUGAGCAGAGCCACUAGCAAAGACUUUUUUUCCACAUCAGGAAAAGGCAGAACAGCAAGUGGAAUCCAGAAAUGGAUUUGGGGUAGAGAAUUUUUCAUACAUCUAAAAUUGAAUAAUUAGUUCCCUGUGAAGUAGUUACUGCAAUAAUGAGUGUAAUUACUCAAUAAGUUUUUGUACUACAUAUCUAUAUUUACCCUA